rnacentral:rRNA from 1 species
UACGAAGGGGGCUAGCGUUGCUCGGAUUGACUGGGCGUAAAGGGCGCGUAGGCGGUUCGUACAGUCAGACGUGAAAUUCCUGGGCUCAACCUGGGGGCUGCGUUUGAUACGUGCGGACUUGAGUGCGGAAGAGGGUCGUGGAAUUCCCAGUGUAGAGGUGAAAUUCGUAGAUAUUGGGAGGAACACCGGUGGCGAAGGCGGCUACCUGGACAGAAACUGACGCUGAGGCGCGAAAGCUAGGGGAGCAAACAGG